AGUGAACGCUGGCGGCAGGCCUAACACAUGCAAGUCGAGCGGCAGCGGGUCCUUCGGGCUGCCUGCGAGCGGCGGACGGGUGAGGGAUUCGUCGGAAUCUGCCUUAUUGUGGGGGAUAACGUAUGGAAACUUACGCUAAUACCGCAUACGACCUACGGGUGAAAGUGGGGGACCGCCAGGCCUCACGCAGAAAGAUGAGACGACGUCGGAUUAGCCAGUUGGCGGGGUAAAGGCCCACCAAGGCGACGAUCCGUAGCUGGUCUGAGAGGAUGAUCAGCCACACUGGACCUGAGACACGGUCCAGACUCCUACGGGAGGAAGCAGUGGGGAAUAUUCGACAAUGGGCGCAAGCCUGAUCCAGCCAUGCCGCGUGUGUGAAGAAGGCCUUCGGGUUGUAAAGCACUUUUGUCCGGAAAGAAAACCUGUCGGCUAAUACCCGGCGGGGAUGACGGUACCGGAAGAAUAAGCACCGGCUAACUUCGUG
rnacentral:rRNA from 1 species